rnacentral:lncRNA from 1 species
GUGGCCGCUGCCGCAUGCUAGCAGCUACUGGGAGCCACAAGUGAGAGCUGGGUGUCAGGUGAGGGUCAGUGGCUGGAGAGCUGCCCUAGGAGGGCACGACAAGCCCUCCAUACCAAAGAUGCUACGCCUCCCUGAGCACCCCAUACCCCAUAAACCACCUUAAACUCCAUUCUGACUUGAGUGUUUCAUUUAGAGAAUUACAUAGCUGAUUUCCCUGGUGACCAUAAAUUAAUAUUUUUAACAACCUUUAAAGGUGAUUUUCACCACAACACAAUGACCACUCCCUGGUAAAACCAUCUAGGGAGACAGGCUAAACCAGAUGAACAGUAAUGGGUGAGCCUCAACCCUUUGGUGAGUAAGAGGUUUGUUGAUCUGCCCCAAGCAACUGUAGCCUCUCUCCUCCAACAACUCAAUCAGGCAACAAGUGCUAUGGAACCAUUAAAGGUUGGUAAUAUGUCAAAGACGCCAAGGUCAUCCACUGUAUCACAGGCCAUCACCAUUUUCCUGACUUUUGCCCUGCCACUGGACCACAAUGAGUAGAAAAGAAAGUAAGGCUGAUAUUUUAUGCAGCUCUGCCUCACUUAAAUCCAAUUCAAGUGCAAGUCCAAACACCACCCCAUGAUAUUACUGGUCCUCUUGUGAAAUUAAGGACAAAUGACAGUAGUCUCUUCUCUCUGCAUCAGAUAGUUCUGAUGCAGACCAAUCAGGCAGUUCUGGUCCUCAGGCUCAUAUUCCUUCUCCCCUUUCCCUAAUGCCUGGUGCUGUUAAACACAUAUAUAAACCUUAUAAAAACCCACUAGAUUUUAAUGGUUGUGAGGGGUGCCUAAUCCCCCUGUUGUCUUAGAAGAGUGCCUAAUUCUACCCAAGGUCUCUCCUUUCUAUCUCUCUGAUUGUCUUUCAUAUUCUAAGUAUAUACCCUCAAUAAGAUAGUCUUGUUUUUUACUCUCCGGUUCCAUGUUCCACACUUCCUUUCUAUACAUUGUUCAAAAUCUUUCUAAAUCUUCAUUAAAACCCAAGGCAUUUAGUUUUGACUCCACAUCAAUGUCUCAUUUUACAGACAAAGAAACUGAAGUUCAGAGAAGAAAAAUGAUUUGUCCUAGAUCAUGGAGCAAAUUAGUAGCAAGACACAGCUUCAAACCCAGACAUAGGUUCAGGAAAAAACCAUUAUCUACAAAAAGGAAUUGGAUUGAAUGGAGAUGUCUCUAAGGACCCUUCUGACUUUGGAAUGUGAUGAUACUUGAGUCUACAGACUAGCUUGGGAUCAACUCUGAAUAGUAGUACUUCUCAUUGGUCAUGUGAUCAACUCCUGCUGUGCCUCCAAAUCCCUGUAUUUUCACAGAAGUAAAAAUAAAGAUCUGUACAGAGAUAUUAUGAGAUGAGGA